GCCCAAGUGGCGGAACUGGCAGACGCGCUAGAUUCAGGGUCUAGUGCCGGCAACGGCGUGGAGGUUCGAAUCCUCUCUUGGGCACCA
rnacentral:tRNA from 1 species